AAGUUUCAUCUCGACGAAGUCAUGGUUUUGAAUAAACACAAUGGCCGUGGACGGACAACCCAGAUCUCGUAUGUGUGUACAAAUGGAUUGUUCAUGUUUUUCCGUCCAUAGCGAAUGUUGACAUUUCGUUAUCGAAGAUGUAUUUUCGGAACGCGCGCACCGCAAAUGUGUUGUCUUUCCGAAUCAGUGGAUUUUUCAAUCGCUCGAUUGUGUUUAUUUUGGUCGUGGCUAAUUCAUAAAUUUCUGCGUUUGGCAGUCUCGUUAUCUUAUAGGGAUUUUUCUGUUCAUUUCAAGUUUAUUUUAAAGUUGAGGCUAGUGUUUAGCGACGCGCUCGCUUUUGUCGCUCUCGUGUAACACAAUGAAACUAUUAAUUAAAUGAAGAACACGGGAUUAUCAAGUUUCACCCUUGAGCUAUUGGUAGGAGCCACGCCACGAAACUUACAAAGCUCGCUAUCAACGUUGCAGAUUUCGGUCAAGUUGGAGCUUUUUAUUAAUAGCGCAAUUGAAUUGAUGCAUCUUACAGUCUUUGUUGUAUAAGUCAUGAGGCUCGUUUCUUGUUGGCAAUUUUUCUUUGACGAAACGUAUUGGAUACGGCAUUCAGACGGUAAGAAAUUACAGAACAAGCCCUCGUACCGGUGUUGCAACCGCAUGACGCCGCCGCCAGCCAAAUCUCGGGGAUCUAAGUGAUUUAUGAGGUGGCGCCAGACCGACCGAAAUGUACGCACAGGCGGCGAAUUUUCCGAUUUUCAACGGUCGAUAGACUUCGAAAGCGACACGCUGACCCACCUGACACGGCCUCAGAGCAGUCCCGCAAGAAUUAACGUGUAGAAAAAAAAAAAAAACAAUUCAUUGGCAAACGAAAAUGUGUGCAUAAUUUGAUCCAAUUCCGUCCAACAAUAGACAAAUUUUCAAUAGGUAUAAUAGACGAUACCUUCGUCCUUUGAUUAAUUUUCGCCUACAAUGGUAGGUAGGUACUAUUUCAGUCAAAAAAUAAAUGAGCAAAAUUAACUAGUAUCUCCCUUGGCCUAUUUUCACAAAAUUUUUAAGACAGUCGACCAGGUGUACGGUUUUCAAAUUCAAACUUCGCGGAAUAA